UGCAGUCGAGCGGAACGAUGUAGCUUGCUACAGGCGUCGAGCGGCGGACGGGUGAGUAACGCGUAGGAACCUACCUAGUAGUUUGGGAUAGCCCAGAGAAAUUUGGAUUAAUACCGAAUACGCCCCACGGGGGAAAGCGGAGGAUCUUCGGGCUUCGCGCUAUUAGAUGGGCCUGCGUAAGAUUAGCUUGUUGGUGAGGUAAUGGCUCACCAAGGCAACGAUCUUUAGCUGGUUUGAGAGGAUGAUCAGCCACACUGGGACUGAGACACGGCCCAGACUCCUACGGGAGGCAGCAGUGGGGAAUAUUGCACAAUGGGCGAAAGCCUGAUGCAGCCAUACCGCGUGUGUGAAGAAGGCUCUAGGGUUGUAAAGCACUUUCAGUAGGGAGGAAAGGUUGUAGAUUAAUACUCUGCAGCUGUGACGUUACCUACAGAAGAAGGACCGGCUAACUCCGUGCCAGCAGCCGCGGUAAUACGGAGGGUCCGAGCGUUAAUCGGAAUUACUGGGCGUAAAGCGUACGUAGGUGGUUUGUUAAGUUGGAUGUGAAAGCCCAGGGCUCAACCUUGGAACUGCAUUCAAAACUGAUGAGCUAGAAUAUGGUAGAGGUAAGUGGAAUUUCCUGUGUAGCGGUGAAAUGCGUAGAGAUGGGAAGGAACAUCAGUGGCGAA
rnacentral:rRNA from 1 species